GGUUCGAUCCUGGCUCAGAUUGAACGCUGGCGGGAUGCUUUACACAUACCGUCAGAACUGGCGGCUGGACUUUUCUGAUCUGGUGGCGGUAGCGAACAGGUGAGUAAUGUAUCGGAACGUGCCUAGUAGCGGGGGAUAACUACCGCGAAAGCGUAGCUAAUGCCACCAUACGCCCUUCGAAGCGGGGACUGGGCUCGCACUGUCGACGGCCGAUAUCGGAUUGGCUAGUUGGUGAGGUAACGGCUCACCAAGGCGGCGAUCGCUAGCUGGUUUGAAGGACGAUAGCCACGCUGGGACUGAGACACGGCCCAGACUCCUACGGAAAUUGUGAUGGGAAUUUUGGACAAUGGAAACCUGAUCCGAGGCAUUCCGCGUCAUGCGAUGAAGGCCUUCGGACCUGUGACACACUUUUUGGCGGAAAAAAACGGCACCGUCGUAACCAGUACAAUGACGUCUUUGAAAUAACUUUCGGCUAACUACGUGCCAGCAGCCGCUGAUGACCGUAGGGUGCAAGCGUUAAUCGGAAUUACUGGAGGCAUAAAGCGUGCGCAGGCGGUUCGGAAAAGAAAAGAUGUGAAAUCCCGGAAGCACUUUGGGGCAUUUUUAACUACCGAAAACUAAGAAGUAUUCAGGAGGUGGAAUUCCGCGUGUAGCAGUGAAAUGCGUAGAUAUGCGGAGAACACCGGUGGCGAGGCACUCCUGGGAUAACACUGACGCUCAUGCGAAAGCGCGUGGGAGCAAGCAGGAUUGGAAUACCCUGAGCAGGUCCACGCCCUAAACGAUGUCAACUGACUGUUGGGGCCUUCAGGCCUUGGUGACACCAAUAACGUGAAGUUGACCGCCUGAAGUACGGUCGCAAGAUUAAAACUCAAAGGAAUUGACGGGGGACCCGCACAGCAGGUGGAUGAUGUGGAUUAAUUCGAUGCAACGCGAAAAACCUUACUACCCUUGACAUGUCUGGAAUCCCGAAGAGAUUUGGGAGUGCUCGCAAGGCGGAACACAGGUGCUGCGUGGCUGUCGUCAGCUCGUGUCGUGAGACUCCGUGCGGUUAAAUCCCGCAACGAGCGCAACCCUUGUCAUUGAAUUUACUACGAAAAGGGCACUCUAAUGAGACUGCCGGUGACAAACCGGAGGGUAGAGAUGGCGUGAGUCUGGCCCCUUAUGGGGCAGGGCUUCACACGUCAUACAAUGGUCGGGACAGAGGGGUCGCCAACCCGCGAAGAGGCAAUCGAAACCCGAUCGUAGUCCGGAUCGCAGUCUGCAACUCGACUGCGUGAAGUCGGAAUCGCUAGUAAUCGCGGAUCAGCAUGUCGCGGUGAAUACGUUCCCGGGUCUUAUACCUUCGCCGUCACGCCAGCAUGGGAGUGGGUUUUGCAAAGUGACAGCCUAACCGUAAAGGGCGAUUACCACAGUAGGAUUCAUGACUGGGGUGAAGUGUAACAAGGUAAC
rnacentral:rRNA from 1 species